rnacentral:lncRNA from 1 species
GUGUGCGCGCCGGCUCCACGGAAAAGAAAAGUGGCCCGCGGGCCCGGAAGCUUCCGAGCCGGCUGACGGGGCUACGCCGGGAAUUGUGGCGGUGCCGGGCGCGCCGAACGGGAGAUGGGGCAGCGGGCGGUGGGGUCCGCGGUCGGAGGGGGUUGGUUCCAGCCGCACGGCCCCCGGUGACCCGCAGGACACAAGUGCAUUUGUGCCGAGCCGUGGCGGGGAUUAAAGUGCCAUACGGCCCGAGCGAGGGGGGCGAGGCGGGUGGAAAACAACUCCCCGCGCGCACAAAGCGCGCAUUGUUCCAGCCACCUCCAUUAUGCCGCGCUGCAGCCAAGAGCCCGUUUCGCAACUGCCCGCCCGGCGCGCGCGCGCGCGCACGCACACACAGACCGCCACACACGCGCGCGCGCGCGCACACGCACAGACAAGCACGAAUUCCCCCGGGCCGAGGCCAGGGGUGGGUGCGCUCUGCUGGGACUGGGAGAGGCCGCUGGGGCCGGGGCCUGCCCCGAGCGCACCCCGGAGCCUCGAGCUCCCCAGGAGAAGCGGCGACGGCGGGUGUGGGGAUCAGGGAGGGGCGCUCUCAGCCGCUGUCACCCGCGGAUCGCAGCCCCAGGCGUGCAGCGCUUGCCGGCUCUGCUGGGGACACGUGUUCGGGAGGAACGGGGGAAGCAUCCCGCCUUCCAAGGAGAGGCUCCCGGAGCGCCCCCAUCCCGGGCUCUCCAGGACUUCCCCUGGCCCGGAGCGGGAGCUGCGGAAUCCCGCGCCGCACUGCCGGGUCUGCCGGUUGGAGCUCGCCAACUAGGACAGCUCGGCCACCCCUACCCUCACCACGCCAGUGCCGGGCCCUGUCCUCCGCCCUCGCUGGCUUUCGCGGCACUGAUGGGCACCGAGAGAGGACUAUCACGCUUGCCCGCCUCUUGGGAUCCUACCCUGUUCUCCCCCGGGAACGGAGUGGGGAUGGGGGAGGCCGGGAGAGAACUAAGGCACCCUCUUCGCCUCCCGCCGCGCCCUCCCUGGUGGGCAGGUGGGGAGCGUAGGAGCCGGAGCGCGGCGAGCCAGCGCGGUCUGGUUUCCUUUACGUUUACAAGCUAUAAAUAAACUUCCCCUUGGGCGGAUGCGCGCUGCGUCC